CCCGACUCCCCAGCCCGGGCUCUUUCCACCGAGCCACGUUGCUUCCGAAACAUUAACGACGACGAUGGCGUCCGAACCCACGCGUGCGGAGCACGGUGGCUUAGCAGUCCAGGAGGGAACCGAGGCUCAGAGAGGUGAUGUGAUCAACUGGCGCUCACCGCCGAAGUAGGAGGAAGAACGGGAGAACUGAGGCCUGAAGACCUGAAGUGACUUUGCUACGGAAGGAGAGGACGCGAGGAGGAUGGCGGUGGAAGAGACGAGAAAACGGCACAGCAAAACGGCCUGGAGGAGACACAGAUCGCACGAUGGAACCAGAGGCCGGCCGAGUGGCGCGGGGCACGGAGGAGAGAGACCCCGUUCGGAGCGACGCAAGAGACCGAAGGAGGAGCCGGCCCAGCGGGAGGAAAAGAAAGCUACGGGCUCCCUCGUGGAUAGGGUGACCGGAUUCCUCCGAAAUAACUCUUCCUCCGCCCUAAACCCAGAGCCAGUGAGGCCCGCUCAAGGGGGGAGACUCACUCCCCGGUCCUCCCGAAGCAAGUUCCGUCUGCCCGCCGCCGGCGUGAGGUUCGUUCAAGAGGGGGAUGACUGACCUAUUGAGAUGAAUAAUCGCAAACGCGACCCACGUUGUCCCAUUCUACCGACGUCUUUGUCAGUCCUUGAAAUCCGAGUUGAAAAAUUAGGAUGAUAUCAUCCGGUCACCCUAUCCUGGAAAGAUUCGAUUUAGCCGAGAGGUUGCAAGCGGCUGAAACGAGCAAGGAGUGGCCUCUCAGACGGGCAGAACCGUCACCCAAGCCCAGAGUAGCGAUCGGAAAGAAUCAAGAGCAGCGCCCACCUACCGGAAGACAGUAAAUCAUUUCCCCUCAAAAAUAAUGAGCUCGGGUGCAGCUAAUCGAGCCUUCGCUUUGAUCCUUACCUAAAAAGGUAAUUUGCAGCCAACUGAAUUAUCUGUUGUGGGGUUCGGUCGGCUGCCUGGUUUCCCCUGGGAGAGUCCUCCCGGGAUUACGUUGGCCCAAGGAAUCCGCUUGGGGUAUCUGUUAACUGCUUCCUUUGGGCCGAACACUCGACUGAGCGCCGGGAUGGACACCGGUUAAUCAGGUCGGGCACGGGUCCUGUCCCACGUGGGCUCAGAGCCCAGGUGGGAGGGGGAAG